UUCCUUAGAACCGUACUUGAGAGUUUCCCAGUAAGCAAACAGGGAACCCAUGGGUAUUUGAAUCCAAGUAUCCAGGAAAAGCCAAAGUAUUUGACCCAUUUGACACGUGCAAUUUCUCUUCAGUCAAUACGUCCUGCAAUUUGUAUUACUUAUUCAAUUGAAAGUCCUGAUCCAAUUCAAAAAUUAUGUUUCGAAAUUUCAUGAUCGAAACUCUUUUUUUUUCUCAAAACUUAUUUUCAACCAUACAUUCAUGCGAUAAAAUAUUUUGCACGUAAAUUUAAUUUUUUUCUACAUUUUGACCAUAUAUACUGCCAAAAAAUCACUAUUUAAAAAAUCAUUUUCCCCCAGGAACUGUUUAAAAAGGGGGACAAAUAGAGGCUAAGUCUUGUUCUAGUAAAUGUGGGUUCCACUCCAUGGAUCUUUUUCGCCACUCUAUUCAGUUCAUUGCUAGAGUUAUUGGGAGAUAUAAAGCUAUUAGAUCUUAAGCAACUAAAACUUGCCUUUUGUAUUAGAAUCCAUGUCAUAAGAUUUGAAAAUGUUUACAUGUCGACUUGCCACAACUUCCUCCUUUUACCCAUACUCGGGACCAGCUAUUUAAAACAUAGGCAGAUGAUGUUGACACCUACUAUUUUCAGAUUCACCUUAAAAGUACCUCUAAACAUUUGAUGAAUUAGUUGAGUACGCAUUAUAAAGAUUUACAUUGAACACACACAAAAGAUUUAGUAUGAGAAAUUGUCACGAGUUACCGAAAAGUUUCUUCCAUAUAUCCAAGAUAAUAUUCUUUUUUUUUUUUUUCCUAAACAACAGAAUAUUGUAUUUUUCCCCCUUUUCACCACAUUCAGCUUAUUCACUAGGUUUUCUUAUCCAACAGCUCUUGACCUUUUCCCAAAAUUAUCUUGACUUUGACGGGACGUUAAAGAUUUGGAAAGAUUUUUUGAUAUCAUCUGUGAUUUUUUUUGUGAUUUCUUACAUUAUUUCUGAUUGUGCAAUUAGUAUAAAAAUGUUACCUUUUAUAUUAAUUUGUAACUCUAUAUUAGGUUCCUUGUCAUUGCAAUUCCUAUGCACAAGAGUACUUCAGCCAAAUUUCCCUAUUGUUUUUGGCAUUUCUUGUUCCAAUAUUGAAUUUAUAGUUCUAAGAUGAAGAAUGCUAUCUCAUAAUAUAGUAUUUCAUUACGAUAUUUAUCUUGUAACAUGCUAUAAUUUGCCAUGUAAAUGUACUUGCAGAUCAAAAGCAAUCCCCAGGACAGUUUGGAUUGUAGUUGCACAAGUAACAAUGGUAGUGACAUACCUUCUCUUUGCUUCAGCUCUUGAUGGUACUCUUUAUGCUGCAACGUUGUUGCUUGGAAUCUGCUAUGGCAUUCACGGUUCUGUCAUUACCCCUGCAGUCUCUGAGCUUUUUGGCCUUAAACACUUUGGUAUUAUUUCGAAUCUCAUGG
rnacentral:lncRNA from 1 species